rnacentral:rRNA from 1 species
AGGCUGCAACUCGCCUGCAUGAAGGCGGAAUUGCUAGUAAUCGCGAAUCAGAAUGUCGCGGUGAAUACGUUCCCGGGCCUUGUACACACCGCCCGUCACACCAUGAGAGUCGAUAACACCCGAAGCCUGUGAGCUAACCUUAGGGAGGCAGCAGUCGAAGGUGGGGUUGAUGAUUAGGGUGAAGUCGUAACAAGGUACC